rnacentral:misc_RNA from 1 species
GGCAGUAAAAGUCGUAACAAGGUCUCCGUUGGUGAACCAGCGGAGGGAUCAUUACAGGACUCGCAAGACUCCUUCACCCUGUGAACCUCACUACAAGCACGUUGCUUCGGCGGGUGUCCCGGCGGGGGUUUUCCCCCGCCGGGGCGCACAGCCCGCCGGCAGCCUACUAUACUCUGUCUCUUUGCGUUGGCAUCUCGGGAAAAGACAAACAAGUUAAAACUUUCAACAACGGAUCUCUUGGUUCUG